rnacentral:rRNA from 1 species
UUGAACGCUGGCGGCAUGCCUUACACAUGCAAGUCGAACGGCAGCACGGGGGCAACCCUGGUGGCGAGUGGCGAACGGGUGAGUAAUACAUCGGAACGUGCCCUGAAGUGGGGGAUAACGUAGCGAAAGUUACGCUAAUACCGCAUAUUCUGUGAGCAGGAAAGCAGGGGAUCGCAAGACCUUGCGCUUUAGGAGCGGCCGAUGUCGGAUUAGCUAGUUGGUGAGGUAAAGGCUCACCAAGGCGACGAUCUGUAGCUGGUCUGAGAGGACGACCAGCCACACUGGGACUGAGACACGGCCCAGACUCCUACGGGAGGCAGCAGUGGGGAAUUUUGGACAAUGGGCGAAAGCCUGAUCCAGCCAUGCCGCGUGCAGGAUGAAGGCCUUCGGGUUGUAAACUGCUUUUGUACGGAACGAAAAAGUCUUCUCUAAUACAGGGGGCGAAUGACGGUACCGUAAGAAUAAGCACCGGCUAACUACGU